CAUGAUGAAUAUAAAACAUCUUACCUAUGUUAUCAACUAAUUCUGAUUAUUCCCCAACACCUUGUAUCCAGAUUGACUCUUGUAUAUUCAUUAUCUGUCUUUGCAGGGUGACAGAGGUCCUACCGGUGGACAAAGCGUUGAUAGACCUAGAGGCGAUAAAGUACUGAAAAUUGUUUGCGCUUACUUUUGACAUUCAUUUGUGGAGUCAUUUUGCAUAUCGUACUUGUUUAGAAUUGUUGUGUGAGACGUACUGAUGUUUUUGGGGGGAAGGGGGGUUUCACAGGGUGGAGAUGGUCGAGGGGGAUUUUCUGGUUUGCCAGGCCCUUUUGUAAAUGGAAAUAGUCUGUUUAAUUUGAUGGAUAAUUCUUAUCUGACUGUGGCUCAAUGUGUCUGCCUUGUCUACAGGGAGAGAUUGGAAAAUCAGGAAAGAGAGGAGCUGAAGGAGACCUGGUAUUAAGGUUCCUGUGUAACUACUCUUCUUAUUCUGUCUAUACAGCUUCCUGUCAUUGUCUCAGUAUAAUUUUUUUUUAAAUCACCAUCAAUCCUAUUUUUGGUGAAGAAUUGACCUGAUAUUACAAUUGAGAUAUCCAGACCUCCAGUUGUUUUCCAGUCAGUAUGUUUGAGGUAUUGUAUUUUCAUCUGACCCUUGGAUUUGAAUCACACAGGGGAUGCCAGGAAUUCCAGGACUCACUGGACUGAAAGGGCUGAAGGUGAAACUUUUACUUCAGGGUGCUGUCUUGCCACACUUGCACAUGCUGAUAUUACCACUAGAGGGCCAGAAUUCAAGUGAAAACUCGAGAAAAAUGGAAUGGAAUGGAACAUGUCUUUCUUCACUUGGGGACUUCAAUGCCAUCUUGGGGGGACCCAUUGGAGGAACUGCAUCUGAUGGGAAUUCCGGAUCUACCAGACUACGGGGAAUGGUGGGGAAAAGUGGAGCAACAGGGAUUCAAGGUCCAGUUGGGAAGAGUGGGGAUUCUGGAAGUAGAGGAAUCACUGGCAACCAGGAAAGCCAGGAGUCAAGGGAGAAGGCCCAUUGGGACCGGAUGGACCAGUUGGAAGAUCUGGAAAGCCAGCAAGUAUCCCUAUAGGCCACAUUGACUAUGACACCCAAUUACAGCUGCAUGAUCCUAUCACGGAGAUGCAAUAAACCAUGUUGUGAUGAUGAUCCUAUUGAUGGGACGUUGUUUAUUCUAUCUUUUGUUUGGGUUGUUAUCACAGGGACUUGCUGGUUUGGAUGGAUUGUUGGGGGUUGAAGGAAACGAAGGAGAUAAUGGUGAUAUUGGUUACAGAGGCACCCCUGGGAGGCCUGGUAUGCCAGGGAAGAUGGGUCAAAUUGGACGAACUGGAUUGAGUGGUGGUCAUGGAGCACCAGGGUCAAAGGGUAAUCAUGGAUCUAAAGGAAAACAAGCACCUGCAGGGACAAUGGGGCAAAGGGGUAUUCCAGGGCUUGGAGGAGAGAAGGGGACAUUUGGCCAGCAUGGCUCAAAGGGUCAGAGGCCUUCAGGGACAUAUUGGACCACGUGGAGUUAAAGGGAAUCCAGGACUGCAAGGGAAUGAAGGGCGGCUAGGUUCAAAAGGCAUACAGGGAGACAUUGGUCCGCGCAGUCCACCUGGGAAAAAGGGCUUCCCUGGUCAACCUGAUCUGUUUGGAAAGAGAGGAUACAAGGUAUGCCUGGAGCUAAGGGAGUGAGAGCAAAACCGGACCAUGACCAGGAGAACGCUUGACUCAUUCCCUGACCAUCACUCAAGCAGCUCCUUCAGCUGGCCUCAGGGCACCAAAGACAGCCCUGCAACCACCUGCAACAAGCUGGGGCUGAUUCAUCCACACCUGCAGGAUGGAAACGUUUACGUGACCCUAACCAGGGCUGCCUGUUUGAUGCCCUGCAAGUGUACCUGUAACUUCACUGUAGGAGGGAUGACCUGUAUACCUCCUGUGUUGUCACAAGUGGAGGUACGAGUAUGGGGGAGCACAGAGAUCCAUAGAGGGGACUUGGAGCUGUUGCCCCUCAGGGACGUUAGUGCAGAGGGAAGGGGAGAUCACUGAGACACAGACCUCAGAGCUGUCCUGGGACCUUUGUGCUUUUUGUAGCCUCCAUUUAUCCAGAGAGAAGAAGCAAGCACUGCCCAGUGUAUGGGGCAAGAUCAUUUGGCUGCAAUUCCUCAUCUGGACAAAAGAAUGUUGUCUCAUCAUGUUGUCUGUUCGCUGUAGCGCUUAUGUAUAAUUGCGAUAAUAACUAGCUGUACUGUAUGAUGAAAUAUGUAUUUUGGAGAGAUUGAUAUAAUGUGUAUUUUAUAAAGAAAAAUAUAUAGCUGUUGUGUUGUUUGUAUCUCCUGCAUAUCGAUUAUUUUUUAUUUAUUCAUUUCUCAGUGAUGUACUGUGUGUGCUAAUAUAUGCUUCAUAUUUGAUUAAUGUGGAGGUUUUAAGAAUGUAAUGUACUCAUUUGUAUUUUAUUGUUUAAGCGUUUGUAAAUAUGUCUUUGCUAAUA